GGAGGUAGAGGAAGGCGGGCGGGCAGGGCACGGAGUGCGGGAGCAUGCUGCCGGAGUUGGACAGCAGGAGGCAGCCCGAGUUCGCCAUGGAGCACAGCAUGGGGCGGCAGGGGGGCGCCCGGCGGCGGCUCUGCGCUCGCUGCGUCCCUCGGAGUGUGCGCGCGCCCUGCCUCCCGGGCGCCCUCCCGGUCUCUCUCCUCCUCCUCCUCUGGGCCUCCCCUCCCCCUCGUGGCGCUCUUUAAGAGGGAGGCAUCGAAAGGAGAGCGGCGCGCCUCUGCCCGGUGUUCCCCCUGCCCGGGCGGGGAGGCUGGAGAGAGCGCGCGCGAGAAUACGGCCAGAGAGUCUGUGCGCGAGAGAUCGGGCGAGCGGGCGAGAGCAGGAGUCAGUCACUUUGGAGCCUCCGGAGCCCUGUCUGCAAAGAGUGAAGCCAUCCCUCUUUUGUCUUCUCUGGGCACCUGUCCGUCACCACUGCCCUGCUGCACCUUCCCUGGAGGAUGCUCAGGAAUUCGGGACAGCCACAUAGCAUUCAGCCGAAACCCAGGCUCCAGAUCCACCCUGCCUGUGAAUCAUUUGCUCAUUAAUUUGCCAUUAUGACCAUUAUGACCAAGUAUCUCCUGUGGAAUCCAAGCCUCAUCCCCUCCAGAAAGGGAUUUGGGAGUGCUUCCUAAGCCAUGCCUGACACAGAGCCACUUUUUGAGUCAACGCUACUGUUUUUCCUUAUUGAGAACCCACUAUAUGCAGACAGUGUGCUCGGUGCUGGGGCUGCAGAAAUCAAGUUCUCUGCCCUGGAGUGAGCACACCGUCUAGUGGGGGAAACCAAGCUUGUAAACGAAGACUGCAGCCUAAUGUACUGAGAGCUUUGACAGCCCAGGACAGGGAGAGCUCAGAUCUGGGGUGUGGCCAGGGAAGGUUUCCUGGACCCCUGAGCUCAGUCAUUGGCCCAAAGAAAGCCAGGGUGGUCCCCACUAUCUGCAUCUGCAUCACUUCUGGCAGCCCUGCAUCUGGUCACCUGUGUGCCUCUCUGCCCAGCCACCUGCCUUCCAGCCUCACCUCCAGAUUGCACUGGGCCCAGGAGCAUGUCUGGACACCUGCCUCCAUCAGGCGGCUCAUCACACCCAGCUCCAGAGAGAGAGGACUGAGAAUAGCAGAAUGGAAUGAAAAUAAUACCUCCAGAAAAAGGA